rnacentral:rRNA from 1 species
GACGAACGCUGGCGGCGUGCUUAACACAUGCAAGUCGAACGGAAAGGCCCUGCUUUUGUGGGGUGCUCGAGUGGCGAACGGGUGAGUAACAAGUGAGUAACCUGCCCUUGACUUUGGGAUAACUUCAGGAAACUGGGGCUAAUACCGGAUAGGAGCUCCUGCUGCAUGGUGGGGGUUGGAAAGUUUCGGCGGUUGGGGAUGGGCUCGCGGCUUAUCAGCUUGUUGGUGGGGUAGUGGCUUACCAAGGCUUUGACGGGUAGCCGGCCUGAGAGGGUGACCGGCCACAUUGGGACUGAGAUACGGCCCAGACUCCUACGGGAGGCAGCAGUGGGGAAUAUUGCACAAUGGGCGGAAGCCUGAUGCAGCAACGCCGCGUGCGGGAUGACGGCCUUCGGGUUGUAAACCGCUUUCGCCUGUGACGAAGCGUGAGUGACGGUAAUGGGUAAAGAAGCACCGGCUAACUACGUG